rnacentral:rRNA from 1 species
CACGGGGGGGAGCAAGCGUUGUUCGGAAUCACUGGGCGUAAAGGGCGUGUAGGCGGUCAGGUAAGUGGAAUGUGAAAUCCCUCGGCUCAACCGAGGAACUGCCUUUCAAACUGCAUGGCUUGAGUCCGGGAGAGGUAUGUGGAACUCCGAGUGUAGAGGUGAAAUUCGUAGAUAUUCGGAAGAACACCAGUGGCGAAGGCGACAUACUGGUCCGUUACUGACGCUGAGGCUCGAAAGCGUGGGGAGCAAACAG